rnacentral:rRNA from 1 species
UACGUAGGGGGCAAGCGUUGUCCGGAAUUAUUGGGCGUAAAGCGCGUGUAGGCGGCUCGAUAAGUCUGCUGUGAAAGUCCAGGGCUCAACCCUGGAACGCCGGUGGAUACUGUCGAGCUCGAGUCCGGAAGAGGAGAGUGGAAUUCCUGGUGUAGCGGUGAAAUGCGCAGAUAUCAGGAAGAACACCCGUGGCGAAGGCGGCUCUCUGGGACGGUACUGACGCUGAGACGCGAAAGCGUGGGGAGCGAACAGG